rnacentral:rRNA from 1 species
UACGGAGGGGGCAAGCGUUGUUCGGAAUUACUGGGCGUAAAGGGCGCGCAGGCGGCUGCUCAAGUCAGGCGUGAAAGGCCUGGGCUCAACCCGGGAAUUGCGCUUGAGACUGGGCUGGCUUGAGUGCAGGAGAGGAUGGUGGAAUUCCCAGUGUAGAGGUGAAAUUCGUAGAUAUUGGGAAGAACACCGGUGGCGAAGGCGGCCAUCUGGACCGCAACUGACGCUGAGGCGCGAAAGCGUGGGGAGCAAACAGG